rnacentral:rRNA from 1 species
GCCACUAGUCAUACCUCCCUGCAGUUCUUGCCUGAUUUCCUACUGAAGCCAAGCAGGGUUGAGCCUAGCCGGUACCUGGAUGGAAGACCUCCUGGGGAAAACUAAGGUUGCUGCUGGAA